GACGAACGCUGGCGGCGUGCUUAACACAUGCAAGUCGAACGGAAAGGCCCUGCUUUUGUGGGGUGCUCGAGUGGCGAACGGGUGAGUAACACGUGAGUAACCUGCCCUUGACUUUGGGAUAACUUCAGGAAACUGGGGCUAAUACCGGAUAGGAGCUCCUGCUGCAUGGUGGGGGUUGGAAAGUUUCGGCGGUUGGGGAUGGACUCGCGGCUUAUCAGCUUGUUGGUGGGGUAGUGGCUUACCAAGGCUUUGACGGGUAGCCGGCCUGAGAGGGUGACCGGCAACAUGGGAACGGAGAGACGGCCCAGACCCCUAGGGGGGGCAGCGGGGGGGAAUAUUGCACAAGGGGGGGAAGCCUGAGGCAGAAACGCCGGGGGGGGGAGGACGGCCUUGGGGUUGAAAACCGCUUUCGCCUGUGACGAAGGGUGGGUGACGGUAAUGGGAAAAGAAGCACCGGCUAACUACGU
rnacentral:rRNA from 1 species